ensembl:ncRNA B0403.8 ncRNA
GAAGAAGUGUGCUUGAUUUGAAACAGAUGCACAACAGACACUUCUUCAAGGCUCCACCCAGCACGUGUGCUUCGUGCAGAACAAGUCAUGUAUACUUUUGGUGGUUCGCAAAAACCUGUUUCGCUCUUUUUACCGCUAAUUU